rnacentral:rRNA from 1 species
UACAGAGGUGGCAAGCGUUGUUCGGAAUUACUGGGCGUAAAGGGCGCGUAGGCGGCCAUCUAAGUCAGACGUGAAAUCCCCCGGCUUAACCUGGGAACUGCGUCUGAUACUGGACGGCUUGAGUAUGGGAGAGGGAGUGUAGAAUUCCAGGUGUAGCGGUGAAAUGCGUAGAUAUCUGGAGGAACACCGGUGGCGAAGGCGGCAUCCUGGACCGGCAUUGACGCUGAGGCGCGAAAGCCAGGGGAGCAAAGCGGG